rnacentral:rRNA from 1 species
CCGUAUAGGGGAGCCGCAGGGAAACCGAGUCUUAACCGGGCGUUAAGUUGCAGGGUAUAGACCCGAAACCCGGUGAUCUAGCCAUGGGCAGGUUGAAGGUUGGGUAACACUAACUGGAGGACCGAACCGACUAAUGUUGAAAAAUUAGCGGAUGACCUGUGGCUGGGGGUGAAAGGCCAAUCAAACCGGGAGAUAGCUGGUUCUCCCCGAAAGCUAUUUAGGUAGCGCCUCGUGAAUUCAUCUCCGGGGGUAGAGCACUGUUUCGGCUAGGGGGCCAUCCCGGCUUACCAACCCGAUGCAAACUGCGAAUACCGGAGAAUGUUAUCACGGGAGACACACGGCGGGUGCUAACGUCCGUCGUGAAGAGGGAAACAACCCAGACCGCCAGCUAAGGUCCCAAAGUCAUGGUUAAGUGGGAAACGAUGUGGGAAGGCCCAGACAGCCAGGAUGUUGGCUUAGAAGCAGCCAUCAUUUAAAGAAAGCGUAAUAGCUCACUGGUCGAGUCGGCCUGCGCGGAAGAUGUAACGGGGCUAAACCAUGCACCGAAGCUGCGGCAGCGAACGUAUCACUUAAAGCGAUUCAGCGGGUUACGAUU